rnacentral:rRNA from 1 species
ACACAUGCAAGUCGCACGGUAACAGGUCUUCGGAUCGCUGACGAGUGGCGAACGGGUGAGUAAUACAUCGGAACGUGCCCGAGAGUGGGGGAUAACGAAGCGAAAGCUUUGCUAAUACCGCAUACGAUCUCAGGAUGAAAGCAGGGGACCGCAAGGCCUUGCGCUCACGGAGCGGCCGAUGUCAGAUUAGGUAGUUGGUGGGAUAAAAGCUUACCAAGCCGACGAUCCGUAGCUGGUCUGAGAGGACGACCAGCCACACUGGGACUGAGACACGGCCCAGACUCCUACGGGAGGCAGCAGUGGGGAAUUUUGGACAAUGGGCGCAAGCCUGAUCCAGCCAUGCCGCGUGCAGGAUGAAGGCCUUCGGGUUGUAAAGUGCUUUUGUACGGAACGAAAAGACUCUGGUUAAUACCUGGGGUCCAUGACGGUACCGUAAGAAUAAGCACCGGCUAACUACGUGCCAGCAGCCGCGGUAAUACGUAGGGUGCGAGCGUUAAUCGGAAUUACUGGGCGUAAAGCGUGCGCAGGCGGUUAUGUAAGACAGAUGUGAAAUCCCCGGGCUCAACCUGGGAACUGCAUCUGAGACUGCAUAGCUAGAGUACUGGCAGAGGGGGAUGGAAUUCCGCGGUGUAGCAGGUGAAAUGCGUAGAUAUGCGGAGGAACACCGAUGGCGAAGGCA